AUAUUCACUUGAUUUUCAUAGCAUGUUAAAUUGAUUAAAACUUUAAAGUUAUAGAAGCUGUAAAGAAAAGAAAAAUAUGGGGAGAACAUGUAGCAAAGCGCAUCCUGAGACACAGGCUAUGUGUGAUAAGUUACAGAAAGCCGAUCGCGACCUGGACUCCACCCCACCGCGACGCCCACAGCCAAUAAGGAGGGAGGAACCUGCAGUUUCAGAGGCGCCUCCUCACAAUAAAGCAGCCCAGCCUACGCCACUCUAUCCGAACCAGUCAGAACUGAGCCACCAACCCCCACCGAACUAUGCGCCAGCCAUCCUAGCUUCACUGGUGGCGUUACACCCAAGAUACCAAGUGAAGGGACCAAGAACAUUGCUGCCUGAGGGCUUCAGACCAACAAAAUCAGACAGAGAAGGGACAAUGCACGCCUCGGUGAAUGUCCCAAUGCUAGAAGUGGCCCUAUGCUAGUUCACAG
ensembl:lncRNA